GGCAAAUGGAACCACCUGAAUUCGAACAAGCGCCUGAUUCGAAGGACCUCCCAUUCAUGAGGGAUGACACAUUUUAGGAGUCCAAGUUUAAAUCGGCAGUAACCUAAGAAGACGGGCUGAAGGAACACGGACUCUGCAGAACAACCAGGCAGCUUUCAGACAACGACGUGACCUGCAGAGCACGCUGGGGCUGCCUAGCAUCUCGGACCCCGCCCGGGAGCGGACCCCACUGCCGGGUGGCACGCUCCCUGCCGCCGAGAGAGCUGAGCCAGGCGCUGCAGCCUGGGCUCCGCAGUGGUGACGCUAGAGAACGGUCCCCUGGGAGUUCCCGAAGCACACUGAGAGGCACCGUGGUGGGGAAUGCUGGAGAGGAGAUGCCUGCAGGAGAAGGGGAGCCGCGGAGCCGGAGCCAGCGGCCCCGUCCAGUGCUGCCGCUGCUUUCAGGCUGUGCACCUUGGGGCCAGGAGCUGUGCCUCUCUGCUUCCGUCAAAUGGCACCCUGACACCUCCUCCAUAGGAUCAACUCAGGCCGCCGUGGGCCCUCGAUAAAUGCUAGUUUUCACCGCGUCCCAGGCCUCUGUGGCUGUUACGUAAAUGGCAGGCAAGCGGAUCAGGCUAAGUAAACAAGGCUGGGACACCCUCUUGCAAAUG
rnacentral:lncRNA from 1 species